AAAGGCGGCGGUGGCCGAGCUAACAGCCCUGGGUAUGGUAAUAGUUCAAAGGAUGACCCGCUCCGCGAGGAGUGGCGAAGUAGGCAAUCCGCAGCCAAGUCCUACGGGCCCAUUCGCGGGCUACGGACGCUGUUCACAGGCCAAAUGGUAGUGGGUGGGGCCGCCGUGCCCUGCUUAAGAUAUGGUCGGGCCCCGGGAGCGAUCCCGGG
rnacentral:ribozyme from 1 species